GGUGCGCGGGCGCUGCCCGGAGCGAUCCGGGGAGAGGAAAGUCCGGGCUUCAAAGAGCAGGAUGCCGGCUAACGGCCGGCGGGGGUGACCCUAGGGAAAGUGCAACAGAAAAUAUCACGCCGAUGGAUCUUUGAUCACAGGUAAGUUUGAAAUGGCAGGGUAAGAGCCUACCGCGUUUGGGGUAACUCAAACGGCAGUGUAAACCCCAUCCGAAGCAAGACCAAAACGAAGUGUUGACGCUGCUCGCCGAGCUUCAGGUAGGUUGCUUGAGGCUGCUUAGGCAGUCCUAGAUAGAUGUCCGCGCGCGACAGAACCCGGCUUACAGCCGCUCUU
rnacentral:RNase_P_RNA from 1 species